rnacentral:rRNA from 1 species
UACGGGGGGGGCAAGCGUUGUUCGGAAUUACUGGGCGUAAAGGGCUCGUAGGCGGCCAACUAAGUCAUACGUGAAAUCCCUCGGCUUAACCGGGGAACUGCGUCUGAUACUGGAUGGCUUGAGUUCGGGAGAGGGAUGCAGAAUUCCAGGUGUAGCGGUGAAAUGCGUAGAUAUCUGGAGGAAUACCGGUGGCGAAGGCGGCAUCCUGGACCGACAUUGACGCUGAUGAGCGAAAGCUAGGGGAGCAAACGGG